rnacentral:rRNA from 1 species
UACGGCGGGGGCUAGCGUUGUUCGGAAUUACUGGGCGUAAAGCGCACGUAGGCGGCUUUGCAAGUUAGAGGUGAAAGCCCGGGGCUCAACUCCGGAAUUGCCUUUAAAACUGCAUCGCUAGAAUUGUGGAGAGGUAAGUGGAAUUCCGAGUGUAGAGGUGAAAUUCGUAGAUAUUCGGAAGAACACCAGUGGCGAAGGCGACUUACUGGACACAUAUUGACGCUGAGGUGCGAAAGCGUGGGGAGCAAACAGG